rnacentral:rRNA from 1 species
UACAGAGGUCUCAAGCGUUGUUCGGAUUCAUUGGGCGUAAAGGGUGCGUAGGCGGCGCGGUAAGUCGGGUGUGAAAUCUCGGGGCUUAACUCCGAAACUGCAUUCGAUACUGCAGGGCUAGAGUCCGGAAGAGGCGAGUGGAAUUCCUGGUGUAGCGGUGAAAUGCGCAGAUAUCAGGAGGAACACCGAUGGCGAAGGCAGCUCGCUGGGACGGUACUGACGCUGAGGCGCGAAAGCGUGGGGAGCAAACAGG